GGAUUUUUUUUCCACAUUUCAACCACACUUUAUCAAACUUUUGGAAAAUUCAUUCCGUUUCGUGGCGAUCGACGAAUGGCCGAAAAAUGUGCGAUCGCAGGUUCCUGUACGACGAACGACUCGAGUGGUUCGUCGUACUCGUUGACGAUGACCGCUCCGCCUCCUCGUGCCCGAUUGCUCCAGAGGCGAGGCACUCUUUCUAGUGCGCGCCUACGCGGAAGCACUCCCUCACCGGAUUGGCCACCGCUCAUAUCAAUCAUUAUUUCGGCAACGCGGUGGGUCCUGUCAAAAAGCGUGGAAGAACUGUUCGACUCGGGAUUGCAGCGCGUACUUUGCUAGCUUCUAUCUCGACGGACGACGAGGGAUCCGAAACGAGGAGCUACCUCGGCGAAUGAAAUUGUUUCACUUUCUUCAGGAUUGGAGCUAAAAAGUGUGGUUGUACGACAAAAUUGGUGUGGAUUUAAAAAGGUCAAGGCGAAUGACACUCUUCCAAUUCGAUUUUCCCUCCUUCCAUUAUCCCUUUGAGCCUUUCUCCGCGGUGCGUGCUUAAUUGGAAGAAAUCAGUAUGUGUGUCUAUGGACCAUUCGACGAUCGGUUAUAUUCCUCUUACGGUGUUUAUACGAGAGAGUUUAUCCGAAGCCGGACAAACGAUGGUAUGGAAUAAGCACGGAUCUACGAGCGAUCACGAUCCCAUGCGAUCGGACUUUUCAAUAAAGACAGAAUUUUUCUUCCUUUU